UACCACCAAACAUUUGAUAGAGUUCCUCAAUCCUCACACAGUAAGAGAAACUAAGAAAGAGUGAAGUGAAGGGCUUCGCAGCUGAUUAUUAGACUCCAUAUUGCUCCAUGCUGAUGGAAAUGAAAGCCCUUUGUGCAAACCGCUUGUCCAAUUUUUCAUCUCUCUUUAGAGGAACUCUUUGCAUCACGAGGACUCGACUUACUUUUCCUGAGAAUCUCUUG